UACAGAGGGUGCAAACGUUGCUCGGAAUCAUUGGGCGUAAAGCGCACGUAGGCGGCCCAGCAAGUGGGGAGUGAAAGCCCUCGGCUUAACCGAGGAAGUGCUUUCCAAACUACUGGGCUUGAAUACUGGAGAGGGUCGCGGAAUUCCCGGUGUAGAGGUGAAAUUCGUAGAUAUCGGGAGGAGCACCAGUGGCGAAGGCGGCGACCUGGACAGAUAUUGACGCUGAGGUGCGAAAGCGUGGGGAGCAAACAGG
rnacentral:rRNA from 1 species